UCUCAUGUUUACAAGUAGUGGGGGAAGUGGGGGUUCUGGGCCACUUUUGCUAAUGCAAACCCUAUGGGAGUGAGGUUAACCUCCCAGAGUUAACCUCCCUAAUAAAUGACGUCAAUUUAAGUAUUAUGACAUUAAUUAAUUAAAUUAAUUACUUUAGAUAAGGUCAUUAUUAAGUGUUACUAAUUAAUUGGCGUUAUUGAAUAAGUAUAUAUAUAUAUUUUCUUUAUAUUUGAUGACAAUUCCCAGUCGUCUAUAAAUAGAUACACAGGAAACCCCCAUCUAAGUGUGUAUUUACAUAUCAUUAUUGUAUAAGAUGUCUCUGGUAUUAUUUAUUCACCUACGGUUAUUUAUCUCUGAUUAUUAAAUCAAUAUUGAAUGCGUGUUUAAACUUGUCCAGUAUUGUACGUAGUGACCUUUAACAUGUUGAUACGUGUCAAUAAAUCCGCCAUAUUGAAAAAUCGCGUCGGUCUUUUGAAAUCAUUAAAUCGUUAUAUUAUUGGCACUAUUAUUAAUAAUAUAUCUUCAUAUUUAUGGGGUGAUAUUUUUUUGUUUUUAAAGUAUUUAAUCUUGAAUUUAUAAUAUAAUUGCUAAAUCACUGAAAGCGUUCGUUAACUUGUCUGUGUCAUAAUCAAGUUUAGACUUGUCAAUAAUCCGAUUUAAAUGUAAUCGCCAUGUUGAAAAUAUUAUAAACAUUGUCGCGUUAUGCAGUCUUUUGAAAUAAGUAAAUCAUAAUAUUAAUUUAAUUAAAUAGUAUUAUUCUUACAAAGAUGAGAUUUAUCCAGUAGUUAAUUUUAAUGUGUUCGAUGAUACAUACUGUUAUAUAAUACGUCUUUGUUUUAAUAUCCAACUAUCAUCCCUCCGUUAAUCAUAUAAUAUAUAUGUAUGAAUUGAAAACUAUAUUUUAUUAUUUCCUCGAUCAUAUUCACUUUAAAACUGAAAUCCUUUACUAUAAAAUGCCAAACUGAUAAACCAAGACAUUUCAACAGUUUCUGUUGAUCUCAAUAACCUGGUGUGAUUAAG
rnacentral:lncRNA from 1 species